rnacentral:rRNA from 1 species
UACAGAGGGGGCAAGCGUUAUUCGGAAUUAUUGGGCGUAAAGGGCGCGUAGGCGGCCUGGCAAGUGGAAGGUGAAAUCCCUCGGCUUAACCGAGGAACUGCCCUCCAAACUGCUUGGCUUGAGUCCGGGAGAGGUGAGUGGAAUUCCCAGUGUAGCGGUGAAAUGCGUAGAUAUUGGGAGGAACACCAGUGGCGAAGGCGGCUCUCUAGUACGGUACUGACGCUGAGACGCGAAAGCGUGGGGAGCGAACAGG